rnacentral:rRNA from 1 species
CCUACGGGUGGCAGCAGUGGGGAAUAUUGGACAAUGGGCGAAAGCCUGAUCCAGCCAUGCCGCGUGUGUGAAGAAGGCCUUCGGGUUGUAAAGCACUUUCAGUGGGGAAGAAAGCCUUGGGGCUAAUACCCUCGAGGAAGGACAUCACCCACAGAAGAAGCACCGGCUAACUCCGUGCCAGCAGCCGCGGUAAUACGGAGGGUACGAGCGUUAAUCGGAAUUACUGGGCGUAAAGCGCGCGUAGGCGGUCUGAUAAGCCGGUUGUGAAAGCCCCGGGCUCAACCUGGGAACGGCAUCCGGAACUGUCAGGCUAGAGUGCAGGAGAGGAAGGUAGAAUUCCCGGUGUAGCAGUGAAAUGCGUAGAGAUCGGGAGGAAUACCAGUGGCGAAGGCGGCCUUCUGGACUGACACUGACGCUGAGGUGCGAAAGCGUGGGUAGCAAACAGGAUUAGAUACCCGAGUAGUC